rnacentral:rRNA from 1 species
GAUGAACGCUGGCGGCGUGCCUAAUACAUGCAAGUCGAGCGAACAGACGAGGAGCUUGCUCCUCUGACGUUAGCGGCGGACGGGUGAGUAACACGUGGAUAACCUACCUAUAAGACUGGGAUAACUUCGGGAAACCGGAGCUAAUACCGGAUAAUAUAUUGAACCGCAUGGUUCAAUAGUGAAAGACGGUUUUGCUGUCACUUAUAGAUGGAUGCGCGCCGCAUUAGCUAGUUGGUAAGGUAACGGCUUACCAAGGCAACGAUGCGUAGCCGACCUGAGAGGGUGAUCGGCCACACUGGAACUGAGACACGGUCCAGACUCCUACGGGAGGCAGCCGUGGUGAAUCUUGCGCAAUGGGCGAAAGCCUGACGGAGCAACGCCGCGUGAGUGAUGAAGGUCUUCGGAUCGUAAACCUCUUUUAUUAGGGAAGAACAAAUGUGUAAGUAAAUAUGCACGUCUUGACGGUACCUAAUCAGAAAGCCACGGCUAACUACGUG